GACGAACGCUGGCGGCGUGCUUAACACAUGCAAGUCGAACGGAAAGGCCCCUUUGGGGGUACUCGAGUGGCGCACGGGUGAGUAACACGUGAGUAACCUGCCCUUGACUUCGGGAUAACUUCAGGAAACUGGGGCUAAUACCGGAUAGGAAUCCUUGCUGCAUGGUGGGGGUUGGAAAGCUUCUGCGGUUUUGGAUGGACUCGCGGCUUAUCAGCUUGUUGGUGGGGUAGUGGCUUACCAAGGCUUUGACGGGUAGCCGGCCUGAGAGGGCGACCGGCCACAUUGGGACUGAGAUACGGCCCAGACUCCUACGGGAGGCAGCAGUGGGGAAUAUUGCACAAUGGGCGGAAGCCUGAUGCAGCAACGCCGCGUGCGGGAUGACGGCCUUCGGGUUGUAAACCGCUUUCAGCAGGGGCGAAGCUUGUGGUGACGGUACCUGCAGAAGAAGCACCGGCUAACUACGUG
rnacentral:rRNA from 1 species